AGGACUAUGUUUUCAGGGAUCAUUUCUAUAGGAUUUGCAGGGCGAAAUGUGCUUGAAAGUGUCCAAACUCGCUCACCAUGAUGAUGUGCUUGAGUGUUCUCUUCUUAUCGGGAUGUGUACUGGCAACUCUGCUGUGUGGCAGUGGUUGGCUGUAAUCAAUGAGAUUCCUGUUCUUUUUCUGAAAAAGAGCAGGGGAAGAGAGCUCAAUCUGACUGGU
rfam:Xenopus laevis strain J chromosome 2L, whole genome shotgun sequence.